rnacentral:rRNA from 1 species
GACGAACGCUGGCGGCGUGCUUAACACAUGCAAGUCGAACGGAAAGGCCUGCUUUCCCUUGUGGUUUGCGGGUACGCGAGUGGCGAACGGGUGAGUAACACGUGAGUGAUCUGCCCCCAACUUAGGUAUAAGCCUGGGAAACUGGGCCUAAUUCCCGAUAGGACUGCAGGGUGGUGCCGGUGGUGGAAAACGUUUUUCUAGUUGUUGGGGAUGAGCUGCCGGCCUAUCAGGUUGUUGGGGGGGUAAUGGCCUACAAAGGCGGGGACCGGUCGCCGGCGUGGGAGGGUGGACGGCCAAAUUGGGACUGGGAUACGGCCCAGACGCCUAGGGGAGGCAGCAGUGGGGAAGAUUGGAGCAUGGGCGGAAGGCAGAUGCAGCGAGGCCGUGGGGGGGAUGACGGCAUCGGGGUUGUAAACUCCUUUCGACCGCGAGGAAGCCACCUGGCUGGACGGGUGGUGACGGUAGUGGUAGAAGAAGCCCCGGCUAACUACGUG